AUGAUUUCAAAGAUACAUUGCUUUUUAGCAGGUGCUAUUGCAGUUGGAAUGUCAGAAAAAGUAAUGCUUCACCACAUCUGUAAAAGAGAAAUAACUUGUUUGAUGUUUUCCAUAAAGGAGAGGAUGCUUUCAGAAUGUGGAAGCAAUAAUAGAGGAGGAAACUGGAUGUUCUGUAACGUGUUGUAACUGUUCUCAUUAGAAGAUAUUCCCAGCUGUAGGAUAGAACAAGAAGUAUUUCCACGAUUGCAUUCAGACUACCACUGCUGACUGAAGAAGAUGGAAAUCAAAGCAAUCGUUAGCUGGUCUAAAUCCAUCAGCUGGAGAGGUGAUACAUGAGGUGCUCUAUACCUGAAUUUAUACUUGACAAGCAAGGUAUUUGCUGCUGUACUCCUGAAAUAAGUUGUCAUACUGACAAGCAUACUUGUCAUUGAUUUUUAUUUCAGAAAGAAACAUAGUCUUGGCCUCCAUGUGUGUGAAGCCACGAAAUCACAACCACAGGCUGUGUAGCAUUUUGAUAUCAUAUAUAGUGAACUAGUAUUUGAACCUUAGAAAUUAGUUUCUG
rnacentral:lncRNA from 1 species